CGACCGCGUACUUUUUGUAGAACGGUCCGGCGAGUUACGCUUACUGGCAAGGUUAAGCACUUCAGGUGUGGAGCCGUAGGGAAACCAAGUCUUAAGAGGGCCUUAAGUCAGUAGGAGUAGACCCGAAACCGGGUGAUCUAUCCAUGUCCAGGUUGAAGCUGCCGUAAGAGGUAGUGGAGGACCGAACCCACAUCCGUUGAAAAGGGUGGGGAUGAGGUGUGGAUAGGGGAGAAAUUCCAAUCGAACCCGGAGAUAGCUGGUUCUCCUCGAAAUAGCUUUAGGGCUAGCCUCGAUACAGAUUUGCGGAGGUAGAGCACUGAAUUUCCUAGGGGGCGUCAAAGCCUACCGAAGAAUAUCAAACUCCGAAUGCCGCGUAAUCGAUUAUCGGGAGUCAGACUGCACGAGAUAAGUUGGGCGGUCAAAAGGGAAAGAGCCCAGACCUUCAGUUAAGGUCCCCAAGUGCGCGUUAAGUGGAAAAGGAUGUGGGAUUUCGAAGACAACCAGGAUGUUGGCUCAGAAGCAGCCAUCCAUUCAAAGAGUGCGUAAUAGCUCACUGGUCGAGAGGUCCUGCGCCGAAAAUGUCCGGGGCUGAAACGCGCCACCGAAACUAAGGAACCGAAAGGUUGGUAGAGGAGCAUUGCAUGCGGGAAGAAGCAGUACCGAAAGGAGCUGUGGACUGCAUGGAAGAGAGAAUGCCGGAAUGAGUAGCGAGAAUAAGGUGAGAAUCCUUAUGGCCGAAUAUCCAAGGUUUCCAGAGUAAAGCUGAUCUGCUCUGGGUAAGUCGGGGCCUAAGGCGAGGACGAGAGUCGUAGCCGAUGGACAACAGGUGGAGAUUCCUGUACUGCGGUAUGACAGAACUGUGGGGACACGUAAGGAAAGCGGAAGCCGGGAAUGGAAAGCCCGGUGCAAGCGGGGUACCAGNGGCAAAUCCGGGUGGCAAUGGGAAGCCGUGAUGCGGAGCGAAAUAAAGUAGCGAAGUCCGUGAGCCAUGCGUCAAGAAAAGCCGCUAUUGUUUAUACCGUACCCGUACCGUAAACCGACACAGGUGGAUGAGGAGAGAAUCCUAAGGCCGGCGGAAGAAGCAUUGUCAAGGAACUCGGCAAAAUGGCCCCGUAACUUAGGGAUAAGGGGUGCCUGGGAAACCAGGCCGCAGAGAAUAGGCUCAAGCAACUGUUUAGCAAAAACACAGGUCUAUGCGAAACCGAAAGGUGAGGUAUAUGGGCUGACGCCUGCCCGGUGCUGGAAGGUUAAGAGGAGAGGUUAGCGCAAGCGAAGCUUUGAAUUUAAGCCCCAGUAAACGGCGGCCGUAACUAUAACGGUCCUAAGGUAGCGAAAUUCCUUGUCGGGUAAGUUCCGACCCGCACGAAAGGCGUAAUGAUUUGAGCGCUGUCUCGACAAUGCAUCCGGUGAAAUUGAAGUACCAGUGAAGAUGCUGGUUACCUGCGCCAGGACGGAAAGACCCCAUGGAGCUUUACUCCAGUCUGGUACUGGGACUCGGUAUUGCAUGUACAGGAUAGGUGGGAGGCUAGGAGAUGGUAACGCCAGUUGCCAUGGAGCCGCUGUUGGGAUACCACCCUUGCAGUAUUGGGUUUCUAACCAGCCGCCGUGACCCGGCGGUGGGACAAUGCCAGACGGGGAGUUUGACUGGGGCGGUCGCCUCCGAAAGGGUAUCGGAGGCGCCCAAAGGUUCCCUCAGAAUGGACGGAAACCAUUCGAAGAGUGCAAAGGCAGAAGGGAGCUUGACUGCGACACCGACGGGUGGAGCAGGUACGAAAGUAGGGCUUAGUGAUCCGGUGGUAUUAAGUGGGAAUGCCAUCGCUCAACGGAUAAAAGCUACCCUGGGGAUAACAGGCUUAUCACUCCCAAGAGUUCACAUCGACGGAGUGGUUUGGCACCUCGAUGUCGGCUCAUCGCAUCCUGGGGCUGUAGUAGGUCCCAAGGGUUGGGCUGUUCGCCCAUUAAAGCGGUACGCGAGCUGGGUUCAGAACGUCGUGAGACAGUUCGGUCCCUAUCCGGCGUGGGCGUAGGAUAUCUGAGAGGAGCUGUCCUUAGUACGAGAGGACCGGGAUGGACGGGCCGCUGGUGCAUCGGUUAGACUGCCAAGUCUACGGCCGAGUAGCCAAGCCCGGAAGGGAUAAACGCUGAAGGCAUCUAAGCGUGAAGCCCCCCUUAAGAUGAGAUAUCCCAUUCGAAAGAAGUAAACCCCCUUGAAGACGACGAGGUAGAUAGGGCAGAGGUGGAAGUG
rnacentral:rRNA from 1 species